GAAGACAGAUGACCCCAGUGGAUCAUGAAGGGCCCGUGUAAAAUUUCUUCCCCCUGAGUGUACAGUAUAUGUCCACAUGUCAGCCCACUGACACAUCAGUCACCGGAUACCAGGAUAGCUGGACCAGUUUCAAGUGAGGCACAUCCACCACUUCCGGCACCAUCCUCCAAACCCCACAAGACCCGCAGGCGCUGGCAACCCCAGUAAGACCUCGAGAGGGAACACAUCACCUGCCUGCAGUCUCUGGAAAGUCAGGAGCAGAGUCUGGAUGCUGACCAGGAGCUGUGCCACACCACCUGGCACCACCUGUCAAACUUCAAGACCAGACUAACACGGCUACAUCUCUGAAUAUGGACACAGAAGCCUAACUACAAGGUGCCACUUUUAAAGGUGACUGCUAAUUUAGCCCUUUACAGAUAAACUCUGUACUGCCAGAGACCUCACAGUGUGUUACAAGCCAAAUCAGGAUUUCUUUUUCACCCAUUCUAGAGAUGGACAAACCGAGGCACCAAGGUCUUUUGUACUGUGCUCUUUCAGUGAAUAAUUUUUUAAAAAAUACAACACAGUGAGAAACUCUUUGAAUUGUGGAAAUAGCAAAAAUGGGCUGAU